rnacentral:lncRNA from 1 species
GAAACAGACAUUCCGUUCAGACAUGCAAACCCCUGCCGACAAAAAAGGCCCGUUUUUAUUCAUCAUGUUCAUUUAAUGCUAAAUAAUUCUGUUGGAAAUUUUUGUUUCUAAUAGCAAAAACAGUGGACAUGAUUAUUGUUGUCAAUCCAGAUACAGCCAGAAUUUUUGUUUAAGGCAAAAAUCAGAGUUAUUUUUUUUUCUCUCAAAU